UACAGAGGGUGCGAGCGUUAAUCGGAGUUACUGGGCGUAAAGCGCGCGUAGGCGGACCUGCAAGUCGGGGGUGAAAGCCCGAGGCUCAACCUCGGAACUGCCUUCGAUACUGCGGGUCUCGAGUCCGGGAGAGGUGAGUGGAAUUCCUAGUGUAGAGGUGAAAUUCGUAGAUAUUAGGAAGAACACCAGUGGCGAAGGCGGCUCACUGGCCCGGUACUGACGCUGAGGCGCGAAAGCGUGGGGAGCAAACAGG
rnacentral:rRNA from 1 species